rnacentral:lncRNA from 1 species
AAAAUGAGUGACUUAUGAUUUUUCUAAGAUGCCAUGCCAAAAUGAAUUAAAUAUUGGAAAAGAAAUUGAAUUAAUGAAAUAAUUAAACUGGCGGUGGCAAACUUGUAAAUAACUUGAACUUUUGACACGCACGCCCUUAACCCUAACCCCAUGCAGCCAUAAUCCGCAGGUAAUGCCCAGGAUCCGCAGGAAAAUGCGCAGCUAACACUAUGAAU